rnacentral:misc_RNA from 1 species
AGCAGCCGCGGUAAUUCCAGCUCCAAUAGCGUAUAUUAAAGUUGUUGCAGUUAAAAAGCUCGUAGUUGAAUUUCGGGAUCAAGUCGUCGGUCGUGCUCAGGUACGUACUGGCGUCAUUGAUUUCUCCCUUCUGACGAACCAUGAUGUCAUUAAUUUGGUGUCAUGGGAAAUCAGGACUGUUACUUUGAAAAAUUAGAGUGUUUAAAGCAGGCUCACGCUUGAAUACAUUAGCAUGGAAUAAUGAAAUAGGACGUUCGAUCCUAUUUUGUUGGUUUUUAGGAUCAACGUAAUGAUUAAUAGGGAUAGUUGGGGGCAUUAGUAUUCAAUUGUCAGAGGUGAAAUUCUUGGAUUUAUUGAAGACUAACUACUGCGAAAGCAUUUGCCAAGGAUGUUUUCAUUAAUCAAGAACGAAAGUUAGGGGAUCGAAGACGAUCAGAUACCGUCGUAGUCUUAACCAUAAACUAUGCCGACUAGGGAUCGGAUGAUGUUAAUUUUUAAUGUA